rnacentral:rRNA from 1 species
GACAGGUGCUGCAUGGCUGUCGUCAGCUCGUGUUGUGAAAUGUUGGGUUAAGUCCCGCAACGGGCGCAACCCCUAUCUUUAGUUGCCAGCAUUAAGUUGGGCACUCUAGAGAGACUGCCUGGGUUAACCAGGAGGAAGGUGGGGAUGACGUCAAGUCCUCAUGGCCCUUAUGUCCAGGGCUACACACGUGAUACAAUGGUGCAUACAAAGGGAAGCGACCUGGUGACAGUGAGCAAAUCUCAAAAAGUGCAUCUCAGUCCGGAUUGGAGUCUGCAACUCGACUCCAUGAAGUUGGAAUCGCUAGUA